UCCGGUGGUCGCCGAGCUGGUGCGUUUCCUCGCCUCGACCCUUGGCGCUCCAUCGCGCAUGCGCUGCGGCCCCGUCUCACCAGCAGCAGCGAAGGAGUUUGGAAGUUCAAAAUGGCCGCCGCGGUGGAGUCUGUGCUGCGGGAGCCCGAAAUUGAAGAUGCUGAUAUUUCUGAGAGAAGUGUCAAUGAAGAAAAUGGUGAAAUAUCAGAAGGAGAACAACCUCAGAAUAAGCACAGCCGACACAAAAAAAAGAAACACAAACACCGAAGUAAACACAAGAAACACAAACAUUCUUCAGAAGAAGACAAGGACAAAAAACAUAAACACAGGCACAAACAUAAGAAACAUAAACGGAAAGAGGUUGUUGAUGCCUCCGACAAAGAAGAUGGACCAGCAAAAAGAACUAAAAUUGAUUUCUUAGCUCCUCUAGAAGAUUUGGAGAAACAAAGAGCAUUAUUAAAAGCUGAACUUGAGAAUGAGUUAAUGGAAGGAAAAGUUCAAUCUGGGAUGGGGUUAAUAUUACAAGGUUAUGAGUCAGGUUCGGAAGAAGAGGGAGAAAUCAAUGAAAAGGUGCGAAAUGGCAAUAGGUCUUCAACUAAAUCAUCAAACACUAAGGGGAAACUAGAGCUUGUGGACAAUAAAACAAGUUCCAAAAAAGCAAGUAAGAAUGAAUCAAAAGAACGGACUAGGCACAGAUCUGAUAAAAAGAAAAGCAAGAUAGGAAUUGACGGAGUGAAAGAGAAAACAACUAGAAGCAAAUCAAAAGAGAGGAGAAAAUCAAAAAGCCCAUCUAAAAGAACUAAAUCUCAAGAUCAAACAAGGAAAUCAAAGUCUCCGACCCUUAAAAGGCGGUCUCAAGAGAAAAAUAGAAAGUCUAAGUCUCCUCCGGAGGAUAAGAAUAAAGCAGAUGAUAAGAGUAAAGCAAGAGAUCGCAGAAGGUCUCCAGUUGUAAAUGAAAGCAAAAGUCGAGAUCGUGGCAAAAAAUCCAAAUCUCCAAUAGAACUAAGAAGCAAAUCCAAAGACAGAAGGUCACGAUCAAAAGACAGGAAAUCAAGGAGAUCGGAGACUGACAAAGAGAAGAAGCAAAUUAAAUCUCCUUCAAAAGAUGCUUCUUCAGGGAAAGAAAACAGGUCUCCUAGUAGAAGACCUGGCCGCAGCCCUAAAGGAAGAAGCCUAUCUCCAAAACGUGAUAAAUUACGAAGAAGCAGAUCUCCUCUUCUUAAUGAUCGCAGAUCAAAACAGAGUAAAUCACCCUCUCGAACUCAGUCUCCUGGUAGAAGAGCAAAGAGCAGAUCAGCAGAAAGGAAACGAAGAGAACCAGAAAGGAGGCGUCUUUCUUCUCCCAGAACCCGACCUAGAGAUGAUAUUCUCUCUAGACGGGAGAGAUCAAAAGAAGCCAGCCCACUCAGAUGGUCACCAUCCAGAAGAAGAUCUAGGUCUCCGAUCCGAAGGAGAUCUCGUUCACCUCUCCGACGUAGCCGGUCUCCAAGAAGGAGAAGCAGGUCUCCUCGGAGGAGGGAUAGAGGUCGGAGGAGUAGAUCUCGGCUUAGGAGGAGGUCUAGGUCACGGGGUGGUCGUAGACGUAGGAGUAGAAGCAAAGUUAAGGAAGAUAAAUUUAAAGGAAGUCUUUCUGAAGGCAUGAAAGCUGAGCAGGAUUCCUCAUCAGAUGAGAACCUUGAAGACUUUGAUGUAGAAGAAGAAGAUGAAGAAGCUCUGAUAGAGCAGAGAAGAUUACAGAGACAAGCAAUUGUUCAGAAAUACAAGUACCUGACUGAAGACAGUAACAUGUCUGUGCCAUCUGAACCAAGCAGUCCUCAGAGCAGCACACGUAGUCGUUCAAAUUCGCCAGAUGACAUUCUAGAACGUGUAGCUGCUGAUGUUAAAGAGUAUGAACGGGAAAAUGUUGAUACAUUUGAGGCCUCUGUAAAAGCCAAACACAACCUCAUGACAGUUGAACAAAAUAAUGGCUCAGCUCAGAAGAAGCUAUUAGCUCCUGACAUGUUCACAGAAUCGGAUGAUAUGUUUGCUGCAUACUUUGAUAGUGCUCGUCUUAGGGCUGCUGGCUUUGGAAAAGACUUCAAAGAAAACCCCAAUCUCAGGGAUAACUGGACUGAUGCAGAAGGCUAUUAUCGUGUUAACAUAGGUGAAGUUCUAGAUAAACGUUACAAUGUUUAUGGUUACACUGGCCAGGGAGUUUUCAGUAACGUAGUGCGAGCCAGAGAUAUGGCCAGAGCAAACCAAGAAGUGGCAGUCAAAAUAAUCAGGAACAAUGAACUUAUGCAAAAAACUGGUCUCAAAGAACUGGAAUUUUUGAAGAAGCUCAAUGAUGCAGAUCCUGAUGACAAAUUUCAUUGUCUGCGAUUGUUCAGACAUUUUUAUCACAAACAGCACCUCUGUCUCGUAUUUGAACCACUCAGUAUGAAUUUACGAGAGGUACUGAAAAAGUAUGGAAAGGAUGUCGGUCUCCACAUUAAAGCUGUACGGUCCUACAGCCAGCAAUUGUUCCUGGCAUUAAAACUACUUAAAAGAUGUAACAUCCUACAUGCUGAUAUUAAACCAGACAAUAUUUUGGUGAAUGAAUCUAAAACCAUAUUAAAGCUUUGCGAUUUUGGAUCAGCUUCACAUGUUGCAGAUAAUGACAUCACACCAUAUCUUGUCAGUAGAUUUUAUCGAGCUCCUGAAAUUAUUAUAGGCAAAAUCUAUGAUUAUGGUAUAGAUAUGUGGUCAGUAGGCUGCACGUUAUAUGAACUUUAUACAGGAAAAAUACUGUUUCCUGGCAAAACCAAUAACCAUAUGUUGAAACUUGCCAUGGACCUCAAAGGAAAGAUGCCAAACAAGAUGAUCCGAAAAGGUGUAUUCAAAGAUCAACACUUUGAUCAAAAUCUCAACUUCAUGUAUAUAGAAGUAGACAAAGUAACAGAAAGGGAAAAAGUUACUGUCAUGAGCACCAUUAAUCCAACCAAGGACCUGUUAGCAGACUUGAUUGGGUGCCAACGACUCCCUGAAGACCAGCGGAAAAAAGUACAUCAGCUAAAGGACUUGUUGGACCAGAUCCUAAUGUUAGACCCAGCCAAACGGAUUAGCAUCAACCAGGCUCUGCAACACGCCUUCAUCCAGGAAAAAAUUUAAAUCAGAUGAAGAAGUCCAAAGGGUUUGAGUAGUUAAGAUACAAAGACUGAAGAAAUUUCACAGCAGUUUAUUAAUGUAUAUAAACAUAAAUAUUUCCCCUGCAAAGUUGAGGAAGAAUGAUAUAUUUGAAUUAACACCAAGGCUGAUAUUUCUUUUAGAAAUGUUAGAGUAAUUCUGUUUGUGUCUUAUGUGAAAAUUUUCACUGUAGAACUGUUUUAAUUGCCAAGACUGCACACAAGUACAAUGCUAAUGUAUAUGGUUGCAGUUCAUAUAUUAAUAAAAAAAAAAAAGCUUGUUAUAAAAGAACAGUAAUACUGGGUGGUUGAUUUGUUCUUAGCAGACUUGGCUUCAUUUUUUGUCUUUAAAAAAUGGCCAGCAUAAAUGCUGUUUAUAUUCACAUUUUCCUAGGUGUGUGUGUGCAGGCCACAGCAGCAUGCCCUUGGUGUAGUCAGUGCCGAAGGGGGUCUGUUCCUUCUUGAGCCUGCCUGCAGGGAUGGUCUCCUCUUUUAAAGCAGGUUGUGUACAACUUUCAGUACACUGAAGGUAAGCUAAACCAUCAACAUCACCGGUGUUUAAGAUGUUAUUUUACUGGAACAACUGACAAAUGAGAGACAAUAGCUUUAUGGCAGAAUUCCCUGCAUGUUUGAUAAAUGAUGUUGUUUUAUUUUCUGGCAUUGCAACUGUGGCAUAGUUACGACUUCUGUUCUGUUCAUCACAUUUAAAAUUUGGAGAAUGCGCACUUGAUGGAUAGAGCGCCUUCAGUGUACUGUUCUUAUUACUUUAAUUUUUUUAAUCAACUUGCUAUAGACUUUGUAUACAUUUUGUUAAAUAUAGUUCACUAUGACAUAGAACCAAUACUUACAGAAGAGUUUUCAUUUACUAAUUACAUAUGUUGGGAUCUGAUUCUGAAAGACCUUAUAUCUAAAGGAUAGAUAGACAACAUAAUGAAAUUUUUAACUAUUUGUAUGUCAUUUUGAAAGUGUACUGCUUUAUGCUAAAAGUGUUUCAUUUGUUCAUUGUUUUCAUUAUUUGUGAUCAUGUUGUCUUUCAAUACAGGCAUAAACCUUCCACUCUUGAACAAAGCAGCUGCUUUUUAAAAGCGAGAGAAAGGAAAGCGAGGCACAGGCCACUCUACGCCUACUCCAUGGGUCUGAUUUGAUGAGACACCAACUUCACCUUCCUAACAAGGCACAAACAUGCACACUUAGUGCAAUCAAGGAUGGAAAAUGAGACUAAGCAGUCAUGCUGCUGGUGGGGUGUUCCCCACCAAGGAGAUGUAAUGAACUACAAAGCAGGCAGGUGAUGGGUGAUGUUACAUACCUAUUUUGAACCUUCUACCUGUCUUUUCUCAGUUUUUAUUUUAAUUUUUAAUUAAAAGUAAAUCUGUUCCUACUUCAACAUUUUAAGUUUCUUGUUCAUACAGGAAAUAGAAUGCAGAUUUCACUCUUAGUGAAAUGAAGAACUAGAUACUUGUUAGUUAAUUCCACACAAAGAAAUUUGCACUGUUUUGGUGACACCUAUAACAUAUCCAGCACUUCUGGUGGCAAUUUUACACAGAUGUAGUGAAAUCCUAUUGUUUCUGUUGAUUUUGACCAUUAUUUUGUAUCCCUAUUUAAGAAUCAUGAAAUGAGUUGUCAACUCCAAUAGAAACAAUGCACAUUAUACCUACAGAACUUUUAAAAACUAUUCUAAAGAAGAAUAAAGUUGCUCGUUUACUUGUUCUUUGUGUUGUAGGUGCCGCUCAAAAGAAGAUGAUGACCACCAGAAGACAUGAACAAAGGUUUCUGUCCUAUAAAAGAUAUGAAAAUAUUUUUCAUGUUAUCUGUCUAAUCUUUCUGUUUACAGCAUUCAUUAGCACUAUUGGUAAUUCUAAGAAUAGUCCUGUUGUGGUGGUAUUUAUAUGUAUGAUGUGCUUGUUUCAUUUCUGGUCGAUGUGAUUUUGUUGUGAUCAAAUGUAGGAAGAUACACAAUACUGUAUCUGUUUAACUUUCUUCUUAUAAGAGAAAUAUUGGGUAUGAUACUUUUCCUUUAGGAAGGAGUCAACCAAAUUUGUUGGUAAAAUAUAGAUAUUUUAGCAUCACUGAUGUUUUUAAGAUUUUACUAGCAGAGGAUACAAAAUUUUGUUCCCAUAUUUUAUUGUAGCAAGUGCAUUAUAAAUGCUAAUACUAUCUCUUACUUACCCUUAGCCAACAGAGCAAACAUUGUAACUAGGGAGGUGGGUUAUGAGAAAUUGUUGAAAAACAAGUGGGUCCUGGUCCUUGGCCCUCCUCCAGCUCCCUUUGUGCUUUUCUGGCAGAACAAAGGAGUUGUAAUUCUGACUUGAACAUCCACCUAAAUGGUUCCCCCAGCAUGGAAGAUUCCUGAGUGGUGUAGAGACAUAGUUACCUAUUUGCCUCCCCUCUCCCUCUCAGCCCUUGGUGUAGGGGCGAGUUGGAUGUGUGACUGGAGUGGUGCUGAACUCUGCUGAUUCCCAGCUGUGGCAAACUGCUACAAAAUAGAAGAGUCCCUGAAGCUGCCAUUGGCAGUUGGCUUUUGGCUGAGGGUGGUAUACAGCUGUUUUUGCUGCCUCCACACCUCAGGUCUGGUGCCAAGUGAAACUCGGCUGAACCCAAGCAUUUAACCCAUGAUCCGUGUCUCAUGGUGACUGAAAAUCAACAAAAAACAAACUAAAAGUGCUUUUGAAUCUGGGCCCGCAGAUGAGAAAUAAAUGCACUGGAGAUGUAUACUAAAAAAUCCCUUUACUACUUACAUUUGUUAUGUAUGUUGCUUAGUGAAUACGUAUAGGUUGACAAAAUUGAAAACCAUUUUAAAAUAAAUUUGUUAAAUGAAUUUUGAUUUUGAAUCAUUACAUUUUUUAAUAAUGUUUUUCCGUCCAAAUUUAGGGUAAGUGGCAGUAAACCUCUGAAGAACCUUUGAAUAUAUUGAUCCAUACACAGAAGGCUGAUCAUUCUGUGAGAAUACAGGAGAUAUAACUUAAUCUUCUACGGUGUAUUAAGUCAUGGACUGUAACUCAUAGUUAUAGCAGCAAAUGUUCAAACUGGCAAUUGCUUCAAGUUAAUAAAAUAAGAUUUUGGAACUUA